UACGCUACGGGGCGCAGCAGUGGGGGAUAUUGCACAAUGGGGGGAACCCUGAUGCAGCGACGCCGCGUGGGUGAAGGAGUAUUUCGGUAUGUAAAGCCCUAUCGGCAGGGAAGAAGCAAGACGGUACCUGACUAAGAAGCCCCGGCUAACUACGUGCCAGCAGCCGCGGUAAUACGUAGGGGGCGAGCGUUAUCCGGAUUCACUGGGUGUAAAGGGAGCGUAGACGGCCAUGCAAGCCAGGGGUGAAAGCCCGGGGCCCAACCCCGGGACUGCCCUUGGCACUGCAUGGCUGGAGUGCGGGAGGG
rnacentral:rRNA from 1 species